GACGAACGCUGGCGGCGUGCUUAACACAUGCAAGUCGAACGGUGAACUCCGCUUGCGGGGGGAUCAGUGGCGGACGGGUGAGUAACACGUGGGCAACCUGCCCUCAGCUCUGGGAUAACUCCAAGAAAUUGGGGCUAAUACCGGAUAUGACCGCUGACCGCAUGGUCUGGUGGUGGAAAGAUUUAUCGGCUGGGGAUGGGCCCGCGGCCUAUCAGCUUGUUGGUGGGGUAGUGGCCUACCAAGGCGACGACGGGUAGCCGGCCUGAGAGGGUGACCGGCCACACUGGGACUGAGACACGGCCCAGACUCCUACGGGAGGCAGCAGUGGGGAAUAUUGCGCAAUGGGCGAAAGCCUGACGCAGCGACGCCGCGUGGGGGAUGACGGCCUUCGGGUUGUAAACCUCUUUCAGCAGGGACGAAGCGAAAGUGACGGUACCUGCAGAAGAAGCACCGGCCAACUACGUG
rnacentral:rRNA from 1 species